AGGCCUGUAGCUCAAUUGGCAGAGCACCGGUCUCCAAAACCGGUUGUUGGGAGUUCAAUUCUCUCCAGGCCUGCCA
rnacentral:tRNA from 1 species